AGAGUUUGAUCCUGGCUCAGAGCGAACGCUGGCGGCAGGCCUAACACAUGCAAGUCGAGCGCCGUAGCAAUACGGAGCGGCAGACGGGAGAGUAACACGUGGGAACGUGCCUUUCAGUUCGGAACAACCCAGGGAAACUUGGGCUAAUACCGGAUACGCCCUUACGGGGAAAGAUUUAUCGCUGAAAGAGCGGCCCGCGUCCGAUUAGCUAGUUGGUGAGGUAAUGGCUCACCAAGGCGACGAUCGGUAGCUGGUCUGAGAGGAUGACCAGCCUCACUGGGACUGAGACACGGCCCAGACUCCUACGGGAGGCAGCAGUGGGGAAUAUUGGACAAUGGGCGCAAGCCUGAUCCAGCCAUGCCGCGUGGGUGAUGAAGGCCCUAGGGUUGUAAAGCCCUUUCAGCGGGGAAGAUAAUGACGGUACCCGCAGAAGAAGCCCCGGCUAACUUCGUGCCAGCCGCCGCGGUAAUAC
rnacentral:rRNA from 1 species